rnacentral:rRNA from 1 species
AGUGGACGCUGGCGGUAGGCCUAACACAUGCAAGUCGAACGGCAGCACAGUAAGAGCUUGCUCUUACGGGUGGCGAGUGGCGGACGGGUGAGGAAUACAUCGGAAUCUACUUUUUCGUGGGGGAUAACGUAGGGAAACUUACGCUAAUACCGCAUACGACCUACGGGUGAAAGCAGGGGAUCUUCGGACCUUGCGCGAUUGAAUGAGCCGAUGUCGGAUUAGCUAGUUGGCGAGGUAAAGGCCCACCAAGGCGACGAUCCGUAGCUGGUCUGAGAGGAUGAUCAGCCACACUGGAACUGAGACACGGUCCAGACUCCUACGGGAGGCAGCAGUGGGGAAUAUUGGACAAUGGGCGCAAGCCUGAUCCAGCCAUACCGCGUGGGUGAAGAAGGCCUUCGGGUUGUAAAGCCCUUUUGUUGGGAAAGAAAAGCAGCAGGUUAAUACCCCGCUGUUCUGACGGUACCCAAAGAAUAAGCACCGGCUAACUUCGUG